rnacentral:rRNA from 1 species
GAUGAACGCUGGCGGCGUGCCUAAUACAUGCAAGUCGAGCGAACGGACGAGAAGCUUGCUUUUCUGAUGUUAGCGGCGGACGGGUGAGUAACACGUGGAUAACCUACCUAUAAGACUGGGAUAACUUCGGGAAACCGGAGCUAAUACCGGAUAAUAUUUUGAACCGCAUGGUUCAAAAGUGAAAGACGGUCUUGCUGUCACUUAUAGAUGGAUCCGCGCUGCAUUAGCUAGUUGGUAAGGUAACGGCUUACCAAGGCAACGAUGCAUAGCCGACCUGAGAGGGUGAUCGGCCACACUGGAACUGAGACACGGUCCAGACUCCUACGGGAGGCAGCAGUAGGGAAUCUUCUGCAAUGGGCGAAAGCCUGACGGAGCAACGCCGCGUGAGUGAUGAAGGUCUUCGGAUCGUAAAACUCUGUUAUUAGGGAAGAACAUAUGUGUAAGGAACUGUGCACAUCUUGACGGUACCUAAUCAGAAAGCCACGGCUAACUACGUG